GUGCCCCCCGCCGCGGUAAUACGGAGGGUGCAAGCGUUAUCCGGAUUUAUUGGGUUUAAAGGGUCCGUAGGCGGAUGCGUAAGACAGUGGUGAGAUCUCACAGCUCAACUGUGAAACUGCCAUUGAUACUGCGUGUCUAGAGUGAGGUUGAAGUAGCUGGAAUAAGUAGUGUAGCGGUGAAAUGCAUAGAUAUUACUUAGAACACCAAUUGCGAAGGCAGGUUACUAAGUCUCAACUGACGCUGAUGGACGAAAGCGUGGGGAGCGAGCAGGAUUAGAUACCCUGGUAGUCCACGCUGUAAACGAUGCUAACUCGUUUUUGGGGACUUAUCUUCAGAGACUAAGCGAAAGUGAUAAGUUAGCCACCUGGGGAGUACGAACGCAAGUUUGAAACUCAAAGGAAUUGACGGGGGCCCGCACAAGCGGUGGAUUAUGUGGUUUAAUUCGAUGAUACGCGAGGAAACCUUACCAAGGCUUAAAAUGGGGAUUGAUCGGUUUAGAAAUAGACCUUCCUUCGGGCAAUUUUCAAGGUGCUGCAUGGUUGUCGUCAGCUCGUGCCGUGAGGUGUUAGGUUAAGUCCUGCAUCGAGCGCAACCCCUGUCACUAGUUGCCAUCAUUCAGUUGGGGACUCUAGUGAGACUGCCUACGCAAGUAGAGAGGAAGGUGGGGACGACGUCAAAUCAUCACGGCCCUUACGCCUUGGGCCACACACGUAAUACAAUGGCCGGUACAGAGGGCAGCUACACAGCGAUGUGAUGCAAAUCUCGAAAGCCGGUCUCAGUUCGGAUUGGAGUCUGCAACUCGACUCUAUGUAGCUGGAAUCGCUAGUAAUCGCGCAUCAGCCAUGGCGCGGUGAAUACGUUCCCGGGCCUUGUACACACCGCCCGUCAAGCCAUGGAAGUCUGGGGUACCUGAAGUCGGUGACCGUAAAAGGAGCUGCCUAGGGUAAAACAGGUAACUAGGGUUAAGUCGUAACAAGGUAGCC
rnacentral:rRNA from 1 species